GGUAAAUACAAGAAGACCGUAGAAAAGAUAACGCUUAAAGACCAGAGGAUUCCUCAGCACACAGAAGAGCAUUCCAACACCUCAGCGGCGUUGACCAGCUGACCAGCUUACGAGCUCAAGAACAGCAACAUGACUCACGUCCGGAGAUUCCAGGGGAUUCCGAUGUCCACGUCAAUGAGGGGAAUCUGUAAGGAGGAAGACUAUGCCUUCCUUGGUGGGGUGAAAAUGCCAGAUGAAGAUGAGGACUAUGAG